UAUAAAGGCAGAACUCGCGCGCUGUCUUUUCUUUCAAACUUUACUACUUACUGUUACUACUGUUUAUCAUUAUCUACCUGAAGGGACACGGCGCCGCCAAGAUGAGGUGGAUUGUUUUCGCUUUUUUACUUUUCUCGGCGUUGAUAGUGGCAACAGAGGCUCUACCACAGAUAUGGAAGGGAGAUAAGGACAUCUUUCGUUUUCCCACCGGACCAUUUAAUCCGGUUCCAUGUGUAUGUGUGACCCACCCGUGCCCUUGCGACGGAAGCAGCUGGCCUCGAUUUGACAAAUUCAACUUACGGAAUUGAUUUUGUCUUUGAGUAUUGGAAGAUCUGCAACAU